rnacentral:rRNA from 1 species
CCUACGGGUGGCAGCAGUGGGGGAUAUUGCACAAUGGGGGGAACCCUGAUGCAGCGACGCCGCGUGGGUGAAGAAGCGCCUCGGCGCGUACAGCCCUGUCAGCAGGGAAGAAAAUGACGGUACCUGAAGAAGAAGCCCCUGCUAACUACGUGCCAGCAGCCGCGGGAAUACGUAGGGGGCAAGCGUUCGCCGGAUUUACUGGGUGUAAAGGGGGCGCAGACGGCGAUGCAAGCCAGGAGUGAAAGCCCGGGGGCCAACCCCGGGACUGCUCGUGGAACUGCGUGGCUGGAGUGCAGGAGGGGCAGGCGGAAUUCCUGGUGUAGCGGUGAAAUGCGUAGAUAUCAGGAGGAACACCGGUGGCGAAGGCGGCCUGCUGGACUGCAACUGACGUUGAGGCCCGAAAGCGUGGGGAGCAAACAGGAUUAGAUACCCUUGUAGUC